GUUCGAAUGGGGAGAUUCAUCGUCAGCGGAGCUGGCUUCGCGGUGGCUCGUGAUGCUCUGUGUCUUGGUACCCCUUCGAGGGUUCUCGCACUUGCACGCGGCCGUCGCGUUGCGUCCGGCUACUCGUCGGCGUGCACUUCUCCCCUAGUAGGACGUCGCGACCCGUUGGGUGCCGGUCUUAAACGGCCCGGGUGGAAGACUGUCGCACCGUCACCGCGCGCGUGCGGCAGACCCCCGUGUUUGCCAGACACCCGGCUGCCCGGCGGUACGCAUCGAUGGUAUCGGGCCGCAAAACCCUACACUGCGUCGGGCCCAUGUUGUCCGCGGUGUUCAGUUGUCUCACGGUGGAACUCACGGACCUAGCGCCGUCCCCGUGCCUGACCCGCGAUCCAGACGGAUGGUGUCCUCCGACAGGCCAAACUUGCGCGCGCGCCAAAUUAAAAUGAGCGAUACCGGUCGGCGACGCUAUUGCUUUGGGUAAUCUCAGGACCCGUCUUGAAACACGGACCAAGGAGUCUAACAUGUACGCGAGUCAUUGGGACUCUGCAAACCUAAAGGCGAAAUGAAAGUGAAGAUCUGCCCGCCGCUAUGUUCGCGUAUCUCGCGGGGGUUGGUCAGGCGUCGCGCGUCGCGUCGUCGUAUGGCGUCAGCGCGGCACGAUCGAGGGAGGAUGGGUCGCGUCACGAUGCGACUCCGCACUCCCGGGGCGUCUCGCUCUCAUCCGAGGAGAGGCGCACCCAGAGCGUACACGUUGGGACCCGAAAGAUGGUGAACUAUGCCUGGUCAGGACGAAGUCAGGGGAAACCCUGAUGGAGGUCCGUAGCGAUUCUGACGUGCAAAUCG
rnacentral:rRNA from 1 species